GACCACAGUUGAAAGUUCCAGGUAUGCAUUUUCAUAUUAUAGUGAAAUUCAAUUUUGAGAUGCUUCAAAACGUUGAGAAUGCUGAAAGAUCUUGUAGCUCAAUUCUAUCUGAAAUUACAGAGCACAUAGGGCAUAGAGUUAAAGUUCAGGAAAUACAUUAUUCAAUUGGAAAUUACUAUUGUUUUUUAACAGUCAACAUUGCACAAACAUUUACAACCUCCAUCUUCCAGCACCAGUUCCUAAUUCAAAUUCCAACCAAGAUUGGAAAGGUCAGUAGUCAGGAAACUCAUUUUGCAUCUUUUGAUUCUAGCUAGAUGGAAAAUGAAGGCAAGACCUUGAGUUCCAAAAAUUCUUUGAUUCCAUCAAUGAUCAUGCCUCACCACAAGGCACAUAACCGAAUCCAUUUCCAGGCUUAACAAAUGACACAUCUAGGAUAAGUAAAAUGUCAUUUGUAUAAAAUGAUCAAUUAAAUGCAGAGGGUUGAUUAUAAUGCAGUUUCAUCUGCUUUAGGUCGCUUUGUUGAUGCUGGACUAGAUUCAUCAUCUUUUGGCUCAAGAUUCUUGUCAGUUCUGUUUUCUAGAGCCUUGUGCUUUCUGCUUACACUCUGGGAGCUUUCUUCCAGUGUAACACAACCAUCGCUUCUACCAACCACAAUUUUGGCAUGUUCCGGCUCUGAGACUUCCAUUUAAUUUUGCAUUUGACUGUGGGGUGAAGGGUCAUCCAUGGAAGAGGAAGAAGCCUUGGACUUCUCAUCCCACAUCUUUCUUAUUCUCUCAAGCUGUUCAUGGAGUCGCCUCUGAACCUCAAGUUGCAGUUUCCAAACUCCCCUCCAGUGCACUGGACGCUGUAUGCUGCGCAGGAUGUUCUUGGCGUCAGGACGUUCAAACUCAAUGGACUCCCACAAUUCCUCCGGAUAUAACUCUACUAUUUGAAGAGAAGGGAGAGGAAUCGGUUGGCCAUUGACCAGCGUGAUCAGAGAGAGCGGCAUCUGCUUUAGCUUUGGACACUCGACCACCAAAAUUACUUUGAGGGAGUUGCAAACCAAUUUUCCACCAUAAAUGCUCUUCAUUUGUGGUAAGUGUCUCAAAUCAAAAUGCUGUAAUUUUGGGAGAAUUAAUUGAGCAAUAUUGCCACCAUUGCUAUCAUGGGUUUCUUGUUCUUCAUCCAUUGCUAUCAGCUCCUCCAUAUUUUCACAAAAGUCAACAGAAAUAGCUUCCAGGUUUUGAAGGUUUGCCAGCACGACUGGAGGGAACAACUUUUUUAUUCCUCGGCAAAAAUGUAUUUCAAGUGCUUGAAGAAGGGAAAAGGUAUUUUGAGGUGUUGACAGUGGUAUGGAGCGGGAGAUGAAUCUUUGGAUGUCGCAACAUUCUGUCCCGUCACAAUCGUCAAUUUUUAGGCGCUUGAGCUCAGUUACAAUCUUCAAGCAUGAGAUGAUUCUUUGGACGUCGCAACGUAUAAAGCGCAGAUAUUGGACAUCUUUUGGGAUAUGCGGGGCAUCUUCUCCAUCGCUGACACCGCACUCGCAAAAAGUUACAGUUUUCACAUAUGUUUUCACAUCUGUUGUGAUAAAACGUAAAAAUAUGUCCCUGCCCUGUCCAACAAUAAUCUGGUAUGAGCUUAGAUUGGGCGCACUUGUUGAAGUCCGGUAUUUGUUGAACUCACCCACAUCGUAGAAAAUGCAUUUCAAAGUUUCCAACUUCCUCAAAGAUGCUACCUCCUCUUCUUUAACUGUGAUUGAUGGCAGCGCAAGGAAUUGCAUAUGGGACAAUUUUGGUAGUAUCCCUGGCGUUAACUCCAGAUAUGUAAAACCCAGAUCCAAAUAACUGAGAUUGGACAGCCAUUCUAUUCCUUCAGGCAAUUUUUCAACUCUGGAGUCAUAGAGAUCCAACUUCUUCAAUG
rnacentral:misc_RNA from 1 species